rnacentral:lncRNA from 1 species
GCCUACCAACAGAGUGCUUUGCAAUUCAGCCUCAAAAAGUGUAGGGAAAGGAAUUGCAUUCACUCCAGUCUCAGACCCUGUAAGAUUUGGAUAUGUCCUUCAUAUUCUAUUGGAUCUACAGUGAGUUCAGCAGUGUACUAUACUGUUCUUAGGAUUAUAUUAAAAAACUGGUAAAUUGGUAUUUCUUGGAGUGGAUAAUGAGGAAAAAACAUGCUAAAAGAUGACAGACUUGGUCAACAUGUCCCAACAUUACAUCCCACUUCAGAAGUAUUGACUAUUGCUGGUGUAUGAUUUUUACAACUUUUGAUCCGGGUGGACAUGUUCAAGCCUGAAGAGUAUGGAAAAACUGCCUUCCUGCUGUCAAAGGCAUUGUAUUUCUUGAGGAUUGUACAGCCCAUGAAAGGCUGUUAGAAUCGAAAGAAGAAUUUGAUUCACUAAUGACUGAUGACACCAUUGUUAAUGUGCCUAUACUGAUU